rnacentral:rRNA from 1 species
GACAGAGGGUGCAAACGUUGUUCGGAAUUACUGGGCGUAAAGCGUGUGUAGGCGGCCUUGUAAGUCGGAUGUGAAAGCCCCGGGCUUAACCCGGGAAGUGCACUCGAAACUGCGAGGCUAGAGUAUCGGAGAGGUUGGUGGAAUUCUCGGUGUAGAGGUGAAAUUCGUAGAUAUCGAGAGGAACACCGGUGGCGAAGGCGGCCAACUGGACGAAUACUGACGCUGAGACACGAAAGCGUGGGGAGCAAACAGG